rnacentral:rRNA from 1 species
AGAGUUUGAUCCUGGCUCAGAAUGAACGUUGGCGGUGUGGAUUAGGCAUGCAAGUCGUGCGAGAACUUUUCUUAGCUUGCUUUGAGAAGGGACAGCGGCGAAAGGGAGAGUAACGCGUGGUUACGUGCCCUCGAGACCGGGAUAGUGUCGGGAAACUGGCAGUAAUACCGGAUAACAUCUUCGGAUCAAAUGGUGUGAUUCCGCUCGAGGAUCGGACUGCGUACUAUUAGCUUGUUGGUGGGGUAACGGCCUACCAAGGCUGCGAUGGUUACCGGGUGUGAGAGCAUGGCCCGGCUCACUGGGACUGAGACACUGCCCAGGCAUCUACGGAUGGCUGCAGUCGAGAAUCUUCGGCAAUGGACGAAAGUCUGACCGAGCGACGCCGCGUGCGGGAUGAAGGCCCUCGGGUUGUAAACCGCUGUCAGUUAGGAGGAAAUGCAUGGUGGUUAUCCAUCAUGUUUGACCGAUUUUCAGAGGAAGGACGGGCUAAGUUCGUGCCAGCAGCCGCGGUAACACGAACCGUCCAAACGUUAUUCGGUAUCACUGGGCUUAAAGCGUGCGUAGGCGGCUUGGAAGGUGAGAUGUGAAAGCCCACGGCUCAACCGUGGAAUAGCGUCUCAAACCCUCAAGCUUGAGGAAGACAGGGGUGAUGGGAACUUAUGGUGGAGCGGUGAAAUGCGUUGAUAUCAUAGGGAACACCGGUGGCGAAGGCGCAUCACUGGGUCUUUUCUGACGCUGAGGCACGAAAGCUAGGGUAGCGAACGGGAUUAGAUACCCCGGUAGUCCUAGCUGUAAACGAUGAGCACUGGGUUGAGGGGACUUCCACAUCCUCUCGGCCGUAGCGAAAGCGUUAAGUGCUCCGCCCGGGGAGUACGAUCGCAAGGUUGAAACUCAAAGGAAUUGACGGGGGCCCGCACAAGCGGUGGAGCAUGUGGUUUAAUUCGAUGCAACGCGAAGAACCUUACCUGGGCUUGACAUGCAGGGGACAGGUGUAGAAAUACAUCCUUCUUCGGACUCCUGUACAGGUGCUGCAUGGCUGUCGUCAGCUCGUGUCGUGAAAUGUUGGGUUAAGUCCCGCAACGAGCGCAACCCUUGUCUUUAGUUGCCAUCAGGUGAUGCUGGGGACUCUAGAGAGACUGCCGGUGACAAACUGGAGGAAGGUGGGGACGACGUCAAGUCAUCAUGGCCCUUACGCCCAGGGCUACACACGUGCUACAAUGGUCGGUACAAAGGGCUGCAAUACAGCAAUGUGGAGCGAAUCCCAAAAAGCCGGCCUCAGUUCGGAUCGUAGUCUGCAACUCGACUACGUGAAGUUGGAAUCGCUAGUAAUCGCGGAUCAGAACGACGCGGUGAAUACGUUCCCGGGCCUUGUACACACCGCCCGUCAAGUCAACCGAGUUGGUUGCACCCCAAGUCGCUGAGCUAACCCCUUCGGGGGAGGCAAGUGCCCAAGGUGUGAUUGAUAAGGGGGACUAAGUCGUAACAAGGUA